rnacentral:tRNA from 1 species
ACUAUUUUGGCAGAAAAAUGUAUUGAUUUUAGAAGUCAUAAAUAUAUAAUUAUAUUAUAUAGAUAGUA